rnacentral:rRNA from 1 species
AUUGAACGCUGGCGGCAUGCCUUACACAUGCAAGUCGAACGGCAGCACGGGUGCUUGCACCUGGUGGCGAGUGGCGAACGGGUGAGUAAUACAUCGGAACAUGUCCUGUAGUGGGGGAUAGCCCGGCGAAAGCCGGAUUAAUACCGCAUACGAUCUACGGAUGAAAGCGGGGGACCUUCGGGCCUCGCGCUAUAGGGUUGGCCGAUGGCUGAUUAACUAGUUGGUGGGGUAAAGGCCUACCAAGGCGACGAUCAGUAGCUGGUCUGAGAGGACGACCAGCCACACUGGGACUGAGACACGGCCCAGACUCCUACGGGAGGCAGCAGUGGGGAAUUUUGGACAAUGGGCGAAAGCCUGAUCCAGCAAUGCCGCGUGUGUGAAGAAGGCCUUCGGGUUGUAAAGCACUUUUGUCCGGAAAGAAAUCCUUGGCCCUAAUACGGUCGGGGGAUGACGGUACCGGAAGAAUAAGCACCGGCUAACUACGUG